rnacentral:SRP_RNA from 1 species
CGAAGUAGAGGCCGAUGCACUGCCCGAGGCUGGUGCCGGAGCAGGGGCUGCAGCUGGUGGC